AUUGAACGCUGGCGGCAGGCCUAACACAUGCAAGUCGAGCGGAUGAAGGGAGCUUGCUCCUGGAUUCAGCGGCGGACGGGUGAGUAAUGCCCAGGAAUCUGCCUGGUAGUGGGGGAUGACGUCCGGAAACGGGCGCUAAUACCGCAUACGUCCUGAGGGAGAAAGUGGGGGAUCUUCGGACCUCACGCUAUUAGAUGAGCCUAGGUCGGAUUAGCUAGGUGGUGGGGUAAAGGCCUACCAAGGCGACGAUCCGUAACUGGUCUGAGAGGGUGACCAGUCACACUGGAACUGAGGAACGGUCCAGACUCCUAAGGGAGGCCGCAGUGGGGAAUCUUGGACGAUGGGGGAAAGGCUGAUCCAGGCAAGCCGCGUGUGUGAAGAAGGUCUUCGGAUUGUAAAGCACUUUAAGUUGGGAGGAAGGGAAGUAAGUUAAUACCUUGCUGUUUUGACGUUACCAACAGAAUAAGCACCGGCUAACUUCGUG
rnacentral:rRNA from 1 species